rnacentral:lncRNA from 1 species
AUCACUGGAGUCUUUAUCAGAAUCCCAUCUUCUAGUCAAGGCAGUCACAAGAUUGGCAGACUCUCCUUCUGUUUCACUUUCAUCAAACCAAAUAGCAGCAACACUCUUCUUCUGUUUCUUGAGAUAGGUCCCACAUUCAGCUCUAAUGUGUCCAUACCAUUCACAUUCAUGGCAUUGAAUUCCUUUGCCCUGUUUGGAUUUUUUUUCCUCAGAUUUUGUUC